GUGGUGCAGUGGUAGAGCACGCGUCCUUGGAUAGGAUGAAACGAGGGUUCGAUUCCUGUCUGAGGCC